AAGCACUAUGAAUAUUUUCCGGAUGCACUGUAGAAUAUGCAGUUACAGUUUUACAGUGAAAACAUUCAGAUUUUAUAAAUACCCACAUAGCAAAAUGUCUCUUGCCUAGCUCUUGCCCACACAAUCAGGUUUUGCUUGGCCCACAUGCCGCAGUGAAUUACGGUACAUGACUGUACCAAGUCUGGCUUUCAGACAAGGGCCAAGCAUGGACCAUAUCUGGGCCAAGUGUCAGCCAAGUUAAGAAUCCAUAACUGAUCCUGAACUGGGCCAGAUAUGUUGGUGUGUCACGAGUCACGACUACAGUGAAACACUCUGACAAACCAGGGUCAUGUUUGAUGCUGUAUACCAGUGCCAGAUAAAUGCUUGCUGUGCCAGAUUUAUGCCAAAUCAGGACAAGAAUUCUUUGCCACCUGGGUAUGAACUCCAGCAAGGGCUAACCGUAUGCUUUAAUUUUACAGUUGCUAGGUUGUUAUACCUAAGAGGAGCCACUCCAAAUAAUCGUGUCAAUGACUUUUCAUACAUUUCCUUAAAUAGGCUUUAUGACAAAAUCUCUUUACUACUUAAGUUUUUUGACAGCAAAAAAAUAAAUAAAUCUGUUCAUUCCAGCUGCCUCCAUUAUUAUCUCACUUCCUCCCACUGGACAUUCCACAACAGUUCCGACCUUUUCUCACUUCGCUGGAGUGGCUGGGAUGCAAUAACACUUUGAUUAUGAAUUUCUUCUCCUUGAGAAAACCCAGACGAGUCUAGAACACACGCCAUGCUUUGAAAAAGUGGAAACUGAGAGUCAAUGACCGUCCUGUCGUACCAUCACAUCCUUUAUCACAUCCAUUUCCUCUUAACCCGCCAUGACCCCCAAUUUACAUAAGUCUUGCAUUCUCUGAUUUCGUUAAAAAAAUAUCUGUUUUCAACCCGUCGGUCAAAGUGGGUUUUAUUGCCGCUAGAGUUACCACAAACUUCCCUUUCACCCCUUUCUGAGGCGAACUUGACAAACAUUGACAAACAAGAAAAAAAUGUGUUGUUGACAUUGAUAAUAAACUCGAAAGUCUCUAAAACAUCUGCAAGGGAAGUUCGAGGGGAAAAUGGCUUAACGACGGGCCGACAUAAUUACGCUCAAUGAGGGGAACCUCUAACGCGUUCAUCCCGCUGCAUUUUAAUGAGUCGUGGGUGCCAAGUGGCAACUGUGGUUCCCAUCACACCAACCUCUGCAUCUUUCUCUUUCCAUUCCUAUAGGCAUAAACCAGGCUGACCAGUUUCAACAGUGGGGGAAAAGAAGAGCAACAUAUGAGGAGGAGAGAAGUCUAAGACCACACUGAAAACCCACACCAGGCCUUUCAAUGUCUUACCCGCUUUCUGAAACCAUUCUUCAC